rnacentral:lncRNA from 1 species
AUUACUAUUAUAAGUUUUGUGCUUUUUCUUCAAGGUUUGUGGCAAAUCCAACAACUUCAUGUCCUGUUCUUCAAGUAGCUGCAGGGAAAUCUCAAUAGUAAUUUAUUAAUUAAUUAGAAUAAUUAAGUAGUAUGUAGUAUUGAUUUUUUUUAAAGUUUAGGAGAGUUGAGUCUUAGAAGCUCGUUAAUGUCAUAGAAAACCUUGAGGCUUAGAAAGAACUUCCUUUUCCAAAUGACUUAAGAUCAUUCAUUGGUAUGUAAUAUGUAUCAUUCACAAGAUGAAUUAAAA